ACUGCUAUCAGAAUUCGGAUUAAGCCAUGCAAGUCUACCUGUUCACUUGGACAGGUGGCAUACGGCUGAGUAACACGUAGUCAAUCUGCCCUAAGGACGGGGAUCUCCUCGGGAAACUGAGGUCAAUCCCAGAUAGACCAUCUAUGCUGGAAUGCUUGAUGAUUUAAAGUGACGGUGAAUUGGAGCCGUACAGCCUUAGGAUGAGACUGCGGAGGAUCAUGGUAGUUGGUGAGGUAAUGGCUCACCAAGCCGAUAAUCCUUAGGGGCCAUGGGAGUGGUGGCCCCCAGAAGGGUACUGAGACAAGGACCCUAGUCCUACGGGAUGCAGCAGGCGCGAAACCUUUACAAUGCGCGAAAGCGUGAUAGGGGAAUUCUGAGUGGUGUAAGCUUAGCUUAUAUCUUUUGCCAAGUGUAAAUAGCUUGGAGAAUAAGGGUGUGGGCAAGACUGGUGGCAGCCGCCGCGGUAAAACCAGCGCCUCUAGUGGUAUCCACGGAUAUUGGGCCUAAAGCGUUCGUAGCCGGUUUAUUGAGUCCACUGUGAAAUGUUGGGGCUUCACCCUAACGCGCGCAGUAGAUACUGAUAGACUUGGGAGCAGGGGAGGGUCGGAGUACUUUCAGGGUAGGGGUAAAAUCCGUUGAGCCUGAAAGGACUACCAGUGGCGAAGGCGCCUACCCAAAACGCGUCCGACGGUGAGGAACGAAAGCUGGGGGAGCGAACGGGAUUAGAUACCCCGGUAGUCCCAGCUGUAAAUGAUGCACACUGUGGUGUUACUCUAUCGUAAGAUAGGGUAGUGCUGUAGCGUAAGUGUUAAGUCUGCCGCCUGGCGAGUACGGUCGCAAGAUUGAAACUUAAAGGAAUUGGCGGGGAGCACCACAAGGG
rnacentral:rRNA from 1 species